rnacentral:rRNA from 1 species
GAUGAACGCUGGCGGCGUGCCUAAUACAUGCAAGUCGAGCGAACAGACGAGGAGCUUGCUCCUCUGACGUUAGCGUCGGACGGGUGAGUAACACGUGGAUAACCUACCUAUAAGACUGGGAUAACUUCGGGAAACCGGAGCUAAUACCGGAUAAUAUAUUCAACCGCAUGGUUCAAUAGUGAAAGACGGUUUUGCUGUCACUUAUAGCUGGAUCCGCGCCGCAUUAGCUAGUUGGUAAGGUAACGGCUUACCAAGGCAACGAUGCGUAGCCGACCUGAGAGGGUGAUCGGCCACACUGGAACUGAGACACGGUCCAGACUCCUACGGGAGGCAGCAGUAGGGAAUCUUCCGCAAUGGGCGAAAGCUUGACGGAGCAACGCCGCGUGAGUGAUGAAGGUCUUCGGAUCGUAAAACUCUGUUAUUAGGGAAGAACAAAUGUGUAAGUAACUAUGCACGUCUUGACGGUACCUAAUCAGAAAGCCACGGCUAACUACGUG